rnacentral:lncRNA from 1 species
CCAAGGCAAGCAAGGGUCAUCCCGAACUAGAAAAAGCUGCUGCAUUACAGAACAUGGUGCUGGCACUUUAAGAGAGGGCAUUUAGCCCUUGUUUUUAUUAUGUUUUCCCUUGACUGCCAUGAUUGGAUGGGGGGGCACCCUGGCCCCUCCUGUCUCCUACGCUCUUUCAAUCCUCGCUAAGAACCUGGAAGCAGACACUAGGGCUGUAGCAGAGCUUCUGCCCUUAGUCUGGCAAUGUGAUGAGUGCCAUUUUUGCCCCUCUUGGGGUGGGGCAAUCCUCAAGGUGGCAAGGAAGAAGAUCGCCAUCUGGAGCUGCAGAGGGCUUCUUUUCCAGCCGGCGAUGAAACAGACUAAGAAUUGCUUGACAUUUAAUGUGUUUCCUCCACAUUGUAUGUAAGUAAACUCAAUCGUUGCAUGACAAAUUAAACGUGUGCAUUCACAAGCAAGCAACAAUGAAUCCAAGGGAGUUCAUUUCAGGUUAUGAUGCAUUGUUGUUGUUGCUGCUGCUGGGUACCGCUGAAUCAUGGCCAACUCCUGGUAGACUGCAUGGAUACCACCAUGGGCACUGCUGUUAGUAGAGAAACAGAAGAAGUUUGCCAUUGCUUAACUCUGGGGAGAGGCUGGGGAUCAACCAUCCCCUGGUUCAUUCCUUGCAAUUCAUCCUUCCAUCGGAAGUUCCACUUAUCCCCAUUCAUGAUUAGGUGAUGUGCACGUUGCAUCCGGUGUGCAAGGGCAGGGCUGAGCUUCGCAGGUUACAGACCUAGCAUCGCCAGGUCCAAACCUAGGCAUUUGAUCCCAGAAGCAGAUCCGUGAGGCCCCAACCGCUCCUGGACAAUUUCUCCUGCUGCAGGUAUGAUCAUGGACUGCUUUUAUCCAAUCUACAGCUAGAGCAGAAUAGAGAGCUCUUAGGAUGCUUCUGGAGCACUUCAGCAGAUCACACGUGUGGAAGAAGCAUUCCAGUUAUCUCCUUGUUCCAGAAAAAGAAGUAAGUAUGAAUAGGCCCUAUGGUUCAUUCACACACACCAUUUGAAU